UACAGAGGUCCCAAGCGUUGUUCGGAUUCACUGGGCGUAAAGGGUGCGUAGGUGGUGAGGUAAGUUUGAUGUGAAAUCUCCGGGCUCAACCCGGAAAUGGCAUUGAAUACUAUCUUGCUAGAGGAGUGGAGGGGGGACUGGAAUACUUGGUGUAGCAGUGAAAUGCGUAGAUAUCAAGUGGAACACCAGUGGCGAAGGCGGGUCUCUGGGCCGAUACUGACGCUGAGGAGCGAAAGCGUGGGGAGCGAACAGG
rnacentral:rRNA from 1 species